CGCAGUCACACUCUUUCUGACCCCACGUUUUUUCCUCUUCAUUUUGCCGUUGAUCUUUCCUGCUUAUAAAUUAUUGCUUCUGCACCACGUCUUCACGGACGUCACCAAUUAAUCAGUCACCAAAAGGUGUUUCAGAAGAAGCAGCAAGAUGUGGAUAAUCACUAAAUUCUCGGUAUGUCUUCUCAUUGUGGGCAUUGCUCUAGUGGUGCAAGCUUCUGAAGAACCAAAGUUUCAUCCACGACAAAUCUCUCGCCGGAGCGUAACAGAGGACGUCAAUUACGACUCAUAUUUGAGUGAAACGACCACUAAUAUUCCUCAAACGGUAGAUUAUGAAGAUCGUUAUUCAGAUUCCACGGAUCGCACUGAAGCUAAUCAAAGUUCCACUGAAACUAACUUUGAGGACGUCACUGAAAAAUUAUAAAAAAAAAAUAUUUUUUGUUUUAUAACUGAAAUUUUGUAUACCAAUUAAACCAAGAUGAUUUUUUUUACUAUUGUUUUUUGUUCCAAAAUUUAAAUAACGACAUCGGAAUUAAUCUGUGUUAAAAAGGAUUAUAGAAUAAAUUUUUUACAAUUUUGCUAUU